GACGAAGUGGCCGCGGUUAAGGCGAUGGACUGUUAAUCCAUUGCCUCGCUCCACGUGGGAUCGAAUUCCAUCCUUUGUCG